rnacentral:rRNA from 1 species
GGUCAAGCGACGCGCCAGUGUCCGAUCACCCGUUCCCGAUGCUCUUUACUGAGUGUCGAGGCGGGCCGGCACGUUUACUUUGAAUCAAACUGGGUGCUCAAGGCAGGCAAAUUAAUUUACCGCCCGAAAGAACUUGCAUGGAAUAAUGGAAUAGGACCUCGGUUCUAUUUUGUUGGUUUUCGGAACCCCGAGGUAAUGAUAAAUGGGGACUGACGGGGGCAUUAGUAUUGCGGCGUUAGAGGUGAAAUUCUUGGAUCGUCGCAAGACUACCUAAAGCGAAAGCAUUUGCCAAGGAUGUUUUCAUUAAUCAAGAACGAAAGUUAGAGGUUCGAAGGCGAUCAGAUACCGCCCUAGUUCUAACCAUAAACGAUGCCAGCCAGCGAUCCGCGGUGGUUCGUUUGAAAUGACCCCGCGGGCAGCCUCCGGGAAACCAGAGCUUUUGGGUUCCGGGGGUAGUAUGGUUGCAAAG